rnacentral:rRNA from 1 species
UAUUUGUCAAUGGAUGCAACCCGGAACGAUGCAUUCCGCGUGGAGGUGGAUGGAGCUAUCGAUUGUUAACUGCCUCUGUACUUGAAGAAAAAUAGCUUCGGCUAGUUUAUUGACGGUACGGUAAGAAUAGGGACGGGCAGAGUCCGUGCCUGGAGCCGCGGUAAUACGGAGGAUCCAAGCGUUAUCCGGAAUCAUUGGGUUUAAAGGGUCCGUAGGCGGCCUUAUAAGUCAGCGGUGAAAGUUUUUGGCUUAACCAAAAAAUUGCCGUUGAUACUGAAGGGCUUGAAUUUUUGUGAAGUAACUAGAAUCUGUAGUGUAGCGGUGAAAUGCUUAGAUAUUACAAGGAAUACCAAUUGCGAAGGCAGGUUACUAACAAACGAUUGACGCUGAUGGACGAAAGCGUGGGUAGCGAACA